AUGAUUGGUCCCAUCAGUUAAUUUUUGGCUUUAAAGGGGUUAUAAGUUUAGGAAUUCAUGAUAAUAAACCGACAGAAGAUGGACAUUAGUCAUUAUUGUCUGCCAUUUAAGCUUGUGCAGUUGUCAAACGGAGCUUUCUCUGAGUUUCUUAGUUAAACCCAUGUUGUUUUUGGCUUGACUUUGACUUAAAGUUGAGUUCAGCUCCGGUUUAAUAUGACCAAGACAAGCCCCAAGUGGUUAAGUGUUAUUUGGCUCUUCUCUCUGCCCUAUAAAUGAGGCAGUUUAGCUGGUUUAUUAUAGAAUUUUCUGUGGAAUGAUAUUUUCCUUCUUGAGAUUGUCUGACCUCCUGUUUGCAAUUAAUAAACUUUAAGAUCUUUUGUAAUAAUACAAUGAGAGCUCACCGAACAUGUAGGAAAGGUCAAGAGAUUUCCAAAAUAAAAAAAAAAAAGGGGGAGAAAAUACAAUUUGAAAUGUGAAUUUCAAUCUUUUAUACAAUUUGAAAUGUGAAUUUCAAUCUUUUUUGGUAUUACAAAUUGUGAAUAUCUGUUAUAAUGCUAGAAUGUAUGCUAGCUUUCUUAAUCACAAUGAACAUCCUUCCAAUUUGAUUUGAAGCUAUAUUUAUGUAGUUUGAUCUUGAAUUUGUAAGCUGAAUAUUGGCAUACUACUAAGCAAAAGGCCAUCAUCAAGGUGCACCAUAUGGCGCACUUACAAGAAAUUUAAGCUAAGCAACUGGUGUGCUGAUGAUAAGGUACUCUCUGGUGUGGUAGAAGGCACUGAAGCUCAGCCAGUGCCUUAGGAAUUUUGCUUACGAAAUGAUUAUAUAUGAACUUGCCUGUAUUGUUUAUGGAGACUACUUUCACAUGUGAUGACUUCAUUAAAAACUUGUGAAAACUUUUAACUUGAUUUAGUGCAGCGAAACUAUUGCUGUCAUGACUUGCCUAAUCUAUAUCUAAUGUGCAGUUCUGGAUUUGUGAACCAUUCGUUUUUCUAAAUUAUUCUGGAUUGUUUA